UACGUAGGGUGCGAGCGUUAAUCGGAAUUACUGGGCGUAAAGCGUGCGCAGGCGGUUUUGUAAGCCGGAUGUGAAAGCCCCGGGCUUAACCUGGGAAUGGCAUUUGGGACUGCAAGGCUUGAGUUUGGCAGAGGAGACUGGAAUUCCUGGUGUAGCAGUGAAAUGCGUAGAUAUCAGGAGGAAUACCGAUGGCGAAGGCAGGUCUCUGGGCUAUAACUGACGCUCAUGCACGAAGCGUAGGGAGC
rnacentral:rRNA from 1 species